AGCAGCCGCGGUAAUUCCAGCUCCAAUAGCGUAUAUUAAAGUUGUUGCAGUUAAAAAGCUCGUAGUUGAAUUUCGGGGUUAGUAGAUUGGUCAUGCCACUGGUAUGCACUGGUCUUACUGAUUCCUCCUUCCUGAUGAACCGUAAUGCCAUUAAUUUGGUGUUGCGGGGAGACUGGACUGUUACUUUGAAAAAAUUAGAGUGUUUAAAGCAGGCUAACGCUUGAAUACCAUUAGCAUGGAAUAAUGAAAUAGGACGUUCGAUCUUAUUUGUGGUUUCUAGGAUUGACGUAAUGAUUAAUAGGGAUAGUUGGGGCAUUAGUAUUCAAUUGUCAGAGGUGAAAUUCUUGGAUUUAUUGAAGACUAACUACUGCGAAAGCAUUUGCCAAGGAUGUUUCAUUAAUCAAGAACGAAAGUUAGGGAUCGAAGACGAUCAGAUACCGUCGUAGUCUUAACCAUAAACG
rnacentral:rRNA from 1 species